GUUUCCUUCUAUGGCAAAAAUGGACUUUAGGAAAGAUUGUCAUAUGAGACUUUGCAAGUGGAGAACUUUCUCCAGUUGGUGCCAGAAGAGGAAGUCAGAGAAAAGUCAGAGCCUAAGCACAGGAAGGAUUUGAUGCGCCAUUCUUGGCUUGAAGGUCGUCAGAUGGUCUACAUUAUGCUUCAAUACAAAUAAAUGAAAAUGAAAAUGAAAUGAAUUCUUCUGUAAUCCUCCCUGGUUGAAGUGAUCACUGGUACCUUUGAAAUGCCAGGCGCCAACAUGUGAAGGAUUCCUCAGAUCGUGGGACAGGACUGACCUUGUGAUAUUUCACCUCCUAUUUUGGAAGUCUUAAAUCGUGUCUAGCCACUCA